UACGUAGGGUGCAAGCGUUAAUCGGAAUUACUGGGCGUAAAGCGUGCGCAGGCGGUGAUGUAAGACAGAUGUGAAAUCCCCGGGCUCAACCUGGGACCUGCAUUUGUGACUGUAUAGCUAGAGUACGGUAGAGGGGGAUGGAAUUCCGCGUGUAGCAGUGAAAUGCGUAGAUAUGCGGAGGAACACCGAUGGCGAAGGCAAUCCCCUGGACCUGUACUGACGCUCAUGCACGAAAAGCGUGGGGAGCAAACAGG
rnacentral:rRNA from 1 species